GAGGAACAAAUAAAUAGCAAUUAUAAGUUGGAGAAUCUUCUGGAAGAUCAAAUUAAACUCACCGGAUAAUCAAGGAAAGAAGUUUCAGCCGUCCAAGCAGGCUGUAACCAGCAACAAGGGGAAGGAGAAAAUGAUUGAUUUACCAGCUAAAGGGACCGAUAUGUGGGAGUUGCCAUUGAGAUACCAUAGUAAGGGGGUUACUAUCGCCUCCCCACCAAGACCCGCACCUCAAGUCCAUGAAAAUGCCAUGAUUUCCAAAUCUAAAGAUCAAUCAUCUACGGAUGUGAGGACAGGAAUCAAAAAACGAAAGAGGAGAAAUAAGCAGCAAAAUAUUGUUGUACUUGAACCUUCUUCUUGGAACAGGAUCUGUCCACAAGAUGUGGUUGACGCUGGAAUGCAUCUGAAUCCAGCAAAAAAGAAGCAUUCUGCUUGGUUCAGUUUAACUCCUUCCUGUGAUCAGAACAGAAAGAACACUCUGCAACUUUUAGUGGAACCAUACUUACAGAUAAUCAUGGAGGGGAACUGUAAUCCAGAUGUGUCUAUUCUCAUGAAGUAUAUCGCAUUGCAACUUAAGCAUGUUCGCCAACAGGAGGUUGGUAUCUUCUUGAAUGGGAAACUUCUUGCCCUGGAAAUGAAGCUACUUGAUGUGGUGAAGCGGUCGAUGGCUAUUGUUGAUUCAGAGAAGAAAAUAAUCAAGAUAGGCAGUUGUGUCGAGAACUUCUGUGUGAAGCUGACUUAUGCUUGAAGAGAAUAGACAAUUUAAACUAUGCAUUUAUAACAAAAAUCCGACAAAUGUUUGUUCCUUAA